rnacentral:rRNA from 1 species
AUUGAACGCUGGCGGCAUGCCUUACACAUGCAAGUCGAACGGCAGCACGGGAGCAAUCCUGGUGGCGAGUGGCGAACGGGUGAGUAAUGUAUCGGAACGUGCCCAGUCGUGGGGGAUAACGUAGCGAAAGCUACGCUAAUACCGCAUACGAUCUAUGGAUGAAAGCGGGGGAUCGCAAGACCUCGCGCGAUUGGAGCGGCCGAUGUCAGAUUAGGUAGUUGGUGGGGUAAAGGCUCACCAAGCCGACGAUCUGUAGCUGGUCUGAGAGGACGACCAGCGACACUGGGACUUCGACACGGCCCGGACUCCUACGGGAGGCAUCAGUGGGGAAGUUUGGACAAUGGGCGAAAGCCUGAUCCAGCAAUGCCGCGUGCAGGAUGAAGGCCUUCGGGUUGUAAACUGCUUUUGUACGGAACGAAACGGCGAACUCUAAUACAGUUUGCUAAUGACGGUACCGUAAGAAUAAGCACCGGCUAACUACGUGCCAGCCGCCGCAGUAA